CGACUCGGGCGCCGGGGACCAUCCCCGGAAGGGGCCCAGCGCCCCGCCCCGAGAUGGCGCGCGCAAGGCCGGCCGACUGGCCGGCCGCUGACGGCCUCUGGGCCGCGCUGGCGCCGGGACGCAAGGCUUACGCGGCGCGCCCGCCACCCGGACCUCAGCGAGGGCGCCGCGGGGAGCGGAGCCUGGGACUGCUCCCUUGACUGCUGCUCGUUAGUCACCCAGCUCACGUGAUCACUGUUGUUUGGAGUCGUCGGCAGGAGCCCAGACGGUGGGGAGGGACUCCAGUGGCCCUGUCUCAGCCAGUCCCACUGCACCCAGCAUGCGAGGGACCCGCACUGGGAGAGGGGACAGUUUCAGAUAUUUUAUGACAGCCACAACAAACACUACCACAAACUGGGAGCUUAAACAACGGAAAUUGAUUUCUCACACUUCUGAAGGCUGGGAAGUCCAAGAUCAAGGUGCAGGCAAGGAAAGGGGCCCACACUGAGGACAAACUGCUGGACAUGGGAACAAAUUGAGCCAAACAGAUAGAGGAAAGAGAAGGUCUGGGUAAAAAUGGAAGACCAGGAAACGUCCCAAGCUGCUGAGACCACAAAAAGAGAGACCAGCACACGUAUGUGCCUCAGGAUGAAAGAAGUCUCACCACCCAGAUAGUCUUGCCAAAGGGACUGAACCUAAACCUGAAUUAGCGUCUCAAUUCUUCUGCCGACUUACAAGUACAGUGGAACAUGAGUAUUCAACCAGUAAAACUUAGACGGUGGGAAACUUUGCAAGACAAAUGGCCCAUGUUCUUCAACAGAUUAGUUGAAGAGAGAGGGAUAAAGGGGAAAUCAGCAAAUGAAACACGAAAUGCAAGAGUGGUGACUUAAAAAGACGUCUGCAAAAUUUUAUACAGCCCUCCCAGAUAGGACCCCUCCCCUUGAAUCUGGGCUGGCCUUAGCGACUCCCCUGGAACCAAGAGAAUGCAAUGUAAAUGACUUGUGCAUGACUUCUAAAGUGAGGUCCUAAAAAACAGUGACAUUUCCUCCAUGUUCACUGGGACACUCGAUUUGGGAAGAGUGAACUGUGACGUAGGAAGUCUGAUUUCCAUGAGCGUGCCAUACAUAGAGGAAGCCCAGGCCGCCUGGAGAGGCCGUGCAGGGUGCUCUGGUGACUAGGCCUGGCUGAGAGUCACCUCCCCGCUGACAGACAGGAUCAGCUCCCAAACGUGUGAGCGGAGAUGCUUCUGGACGAUUCCAUCUGCCAGUUAUUCGUCACCUGCAGACACUGAGUUCCCAGCUCAAACACCACGGAGAGACACUGGUGUCCUGUAGCCAGUUUGUACCAUCAUGCAGGGACCGACAGUUCACAUCUUCCCACACUCAGUGAUGUCACGUGGUAGCUUGGAAUCGGAGUAUUUACACCCUGGAAAUCAGCAAACAUUACAAAUCAGGGGCGUUCUUGCAGCUCCUUGUCUGACUUCCUGACCCACAGGAUCCACACACAGGUGUUUUAAGACACCCGGUUUUGGAGUCAUUGUUUUACAGCAAGGAAGUGAUUACUAUACUACAAAAGGCCAGUGGUGACUUUUGCCGGGAGGAAGGUGGUUGAGAUCAGAACUUGUGAAACUUCCGGGAUGGCUGGCAGAUUCUCUGAAUAUGGAUGGUGGUAUAAAGGAUGUUCCUUUUAUAACAAUUAAGUCAUAUGUUUGUUUUGUGUCAUUUUCUAUAUCUGUUUUAUUUUGUAAUAAAAAA